AUUGAACGCUGGCGGUAGGCCUAACACAUGCAAGUCGAACGGCAGCACAGGAGAGCUUGCUCUCUGGGUGGCGAGUGGCGGACGGGUGAGGAAUACAUCGGAAUCUACCUUUUCGUGGGGGAUAACGUAGGGAAACUUACGCUAAUACCGCAUACGACCUACGGGUGAAAGUGGGGGAUCGCAAGGCAUCCGGCGAUUAGAUGAGCCGUUGUCCGAUUAGCUAGUUGGCGGGGUAAUGGCCCACCAAGGCGACGAUCGGUAGCUGGUCUGAGAGGAUGAGCAGCCACACUGGAACUGAGACACGGUCCAGACUCCUACGGGAGGCAGCAGUGGGGAAUAUUGGACAAUGGGCGCAAGCCUGAUCCAGCCAUACCGCGUGGGUGAAGAAGGCCUUCGGGUUGUAAAGCCCUUUUGUUGGGAAAGAAAUCCUAUCGGUUAAUAACCGGUGGGGAUGACGGUACCCAAAGAAUAAGCACCGGCUAACUUCGUGCCAGCAGCCGCCGUAAAAC
rnacentral:rRNA from 1 species